GAUCAAUGAUUAAAGUAACCAAAUUUGAGCAUCAGAAGACCUUCCAGUCUACUUGUUGCAUGAGCUGUACAGUUUUGAGA
rfam:Callithrix jacchus chromosome 3, whole genome shotgun sequence